rnacentral:rRNA from 1 species
UACGGGGGAGCAAGCGUUGUUCGGAUUUACUGGGCGUAAAGGGCGCGUAGGCGGUCAGCACAAGUCAGUUGUGAAAUCUCCGGGCUUAACUCGGAAAGGUCAACUGAUACUGUGCGACUAGAGUGCGGAAGGGGCAACUGGAAUUCUCGGUGUAGCGGUGAAAUGCGUAGAUAAUCGAGAGGAACACCUGCGGCGAAGGCGGGUUGCUGGGCCGACACUGACGCUGAUGCGCGAAAGCCAGGGGAGCGAACGGG